ensembl:lncRNA
UAACGUUGGCUAGCUACUUCCAGACACAAAUGAUACCACUAUGAACAUUUACUCGCCCUAGCAGAGCUGGUUAUAUCAGCUGUUUUGGUGAACCCCUCCUGCAUCUGAACUGAAAUCCGAGCAAGGGUUGCCUUCCAGAGAGACAUCAGAGAUUGUAACCUUCAUUGUUUCACGGAAACGUGGCUCACUCAAGACAGUACGGUACAGCCACCUGGUUUCUUCAUGCAUCGCGCCGACAGAAACAAACAUCUAUCUGCUAAGAAGAAGGGGGGGGUAUGCGUUAUGAUUAACGAGACGUGGUGUGAUCAUAACAACAUACAGGAACUCAACGACACGGCCCGCUACCAAAACCUGUGGGUUAUCCUUCACCGCAGCCAACUCUGCUGUUCCCCACAUGCUUCAAGAGCGCCACCAUUGUCCCUGUUCCCAAGAAAGCUAAGGUGGUGAGGGCAGGAAACAACAUCUCCACCCCGCUGAUCCUCAACUCUGGGUCCCCACAAGCGUGCGUUCUCAGCCCUCUCCUGUGCUCCCUGUUCACCCAUGACUGCGUGGUCAUGCACGCCUCCAACUCAAUCAUCAAGUUUGCAGACGACACUACAGUGGUAGGCUUGAUCACCAACAAUGACGAGACGGCCUACAGGGAGGAGGUGAGGGCCCUCAGAAUGUGGUGUCAGGAAAAUAACCUCACACUCAACAUCAACAAAACAAAGGAGAUGAUUGUGGACUUCAGUAAACAGCAGAGGGAGCACCCUCUUAUCCACAUCGAUGGGACAGUAGUGGAGAAGGUGGAAAGUUUUAAGUUCCUCAGCGUACACAUCACGGACAAACUGAAAUGGUCCACCCACACAGACAGCGUGGUGAAGAAGGCACAACAGAGGCUCUUCAACCUCAGGAGGCUGAAGAAAUUUGGCUUGUCACCAAAAUCACUCACAAACCUUUACAGAUGCACAAUCGAGAGGAUCCUGUCGGGCUGUAUCACCGCCUGGUACGGCAACUGCUCCGCCCACAACCGUAAGGCUUUCCAGAGGGUAGUGAGAUCUGCACAACGCAUCACCGGGGGAAAACUACCUGCUCUCCAGAGCACCUACACCAUCCGAUAUCACAGGAAGGCCAAAAAGAUCAUCAAGGACAACAACCACCUGAGCCACUGCCUGUUCACCCCGCUUUUCAUCCAGAAGGUGAGGUCAGUACAGGUGCAACAAAGCUGGGACCGAGAGACUGAAAAACAGCUUCUAUCUCAUGGCCAUCAGACUGUUAGGCAGCCAUCAAUGACAUUGAGUGGCUGCUGUCAACAUACUGACUCAAUCUCUAAGCACUUUAAUAAUUAAAAAUUGGAUGUAAUUGGAUGUAAUAAAUGUAUCACUAGUCACUUUAAGGGAGGAUGUUCCUGUGGCGGGAUCAAAUCAGCGGAUAUUUUAGAGCGCCACCGAAAGUUUUCGAUAAAACUCAAACUUUCAUUAAAACACACAUACAAGGUACUGAAUUAAAGCUACACUCGUUGUGAAUCUAGCCACCAAGUCAGAUUUGUAAAAUGCU